rnacentral:rRNA from 1 species
UACGUAGGGGGCAAGCGUUAUCCGGAUUUACUGGGUGUAAAGGGGGCGCAGACGGCGAUGCAAGCCAGGAGUGAAAGCCCGGGGCCCAACCCCGGGACUGCUCUUGGAACUGCGUGGCUGGAGUGCAGGAGGGGCAGGCGGAAUCCCUGGUGUAGCGGUGAAAUGCGUAGAUAUCAGGAGGAACACCGGUGGCGAAGGCGGCUUACUGGACGAUGACUGACGCUGAGGCUCGAAAGCGUGGGGAGCAAACAGG